CGCUGGCGGCAGGCCUAACACAUGCAAGUCGAGCGGUAACAGAUCCAGCUUGCUGGAUGCUGACGAGCGGCGGACGGGUGAGUAAUGCAUAGGAAUCUGCCCGAUAGUGGGGGAUAACCUGGGGAAACCCAGGCUAAUACCGCAUACGUCCUACGGGAGAAAGGGGGCUCCGGCUCCCGCUAUGGGAUGAGCCUAUGUCGGAUUAGCUAGUUGGUGAGGUAACGGCUCACCAAGGCGACGAUCCGUAGCUGGUCUGAGAGGAUGAUCAGCCACAUCGGGACUGAGACACGGCCCGAACUCCUACGGGAGGCAGCAGUGGGGAAUAUUGGACAAUGGGGGAAACCCUGAUCCAGCCAUGCCGCGUGUGUGAAGAAGGCCCUCGGGUUGUAAAGCACUUUCAGCGAGGAAGAACGCCUAGCGGUUAAUACCCGCUAGGAAAGACAUCACUCGCAGAAGAAGCACCGGCUAACUCCGUGCCAGCAGCCGCGGUAAUACGGAGGGUGCAAGCGUUAAUCGGAAUUACUGGGCGUAAAGCGCGCGUAGGUGGCUUGAUAAGCCGGUUGUGAAAGCCCCGGGCUCAACCUGGGAACGGCAUCCGGAACUGUCAAGCUAGAGUGCAGGAGAGGAAGGUAGAAUUCCCGGUGUAGCGGUGAAAUGCGUA
rnacentral:rRNA from 1 species